rnacentral:rRNA from 1 species
UACAGAGGUCUCAAGCGUUGUUCGGAUUCAUUGGGCGUAAAGGGUGCGUAGGCGGCGCGGUAAGUCGAACGUGAAAUCCCUGGGCUCAACCCAGGAACUGCGUCCGAUACUGGUUGGCUUGAAUCCGGGAGAGGGAUGUGGAAGUUCCAGGUGUAGCGGUGAAAUGCGUAGAUAUCUGGAGGAACACCGGUGGCGAAGGCGACAUCCUGGACCGGUAUUGACGCUGAGGCGCGAAAGCCAGGGGAGCAAACGGG